GCUGAGGUAGCUCAGUUGGUAGAGCAUUUGUCUGAAGAACAAAGGGUCGGCGGUUCGAGCCCGCCCCUCAGCA
rnacentral:tRNA from 1 species